rnacentral:rRNA from 1 species
UACGUAGGGUCCGAGCGUUGUCCGGAAUUACUGGGCGUAAAGAGCUCGUAGGUGGUUUGUCGCGUUGUUCGUGAAAACUCACAGCUUAACUGUGGGCGUGCGGGCGAUACGGGCAGACUGGAGUACUGCAGGGGAGACUGGAAUUCCUGGUGUAGCGGUGGAAUGCGCAGAUAUCAGGAGGAACACCGGUGGCGAAGGCGGGUCUCUGGGCAGUAACUGACGCUGAGGAGCGAAAGCGUGGGGAGCGAUCCGG